CGAACGCUGGCGGCGUGCCUAAUACAUGCAAGUAGAACGCUGGAGAGAGGAGCUUGCUCUUCUUGGAUGAGUUGCGAACGGGUGAGUAACGCGUAGGUAACCUGCCUUGUAGCGGGGGAUAACUAUUGGAAACGAUAGCUAAUACCGCAUAACAAUGGGUGACACAUGUCAUUUAUUUGAAAGGGGCAAUUGCUCCACUACAAGAUGGACCUGCGUUGUAUUAGCUAGUAGGUGAGGUAACGGCUCACCUAGGCGACGAUACAUAGCCGACCUGAGAGGGUGAUCGGCCACACUGGGACUGAGACACGGCCCAGACUCCUACGGGAGGCAGCAGUAGGGAAUCUUCGGCAAUGGGGGCAACCCUGACCGAGCAACGCCGCGUGAGUGAAGAAGGUUUUCGGAUCGUAAAGCUCUGUUGUAAGUCAAGAACGAGUGUGAGAGUGGAAAGUUCACACUGUGACGGUAGCUUACCAGAAAGGGACGGCUAACUACGUGCCAGCAGCCGCGGUAAUACGUAGGUCCCGAGCGUUGUCCGGAUUUAUUGGGCGUAAAGCGAGCGCAGGCGGUUAGAUAAGUCUGAAGUUAAAGGCUGUGGCUCAGCCAUAGUUCGCUUUGGAAAUUGUCAAACUUGAGUGCAGAAGGGGAGAGUGGAAUUCCAUGUGUAGCGGUGAAAUGCGUAGAUAUAUGGAGGAACACCGGUGGCGAAAGCGGCUCUCUGGUCUGUAACUGACGCUGAGGCUCGAAAGCGUGGGGAGCGAACAGGAUUAGAUACCCUGGUAGUCCACGCCGUAAACGAUGAGUGCUAGGUGUUGGAUCCUUUCCGGGAUUCAGUGCCGCAGCUAACGCAUUAAGCACUCCGCCUGGGGAUACGA
rnacentral:rRNA from 1 species